rnacentral:lncRNA from 1 species
UGAAUUAAUUUUAUUUAGUUGUGCUCUGAACGAAGAAUUAUGUUUAAUCUUAACCCAAUUCUGUAUGCUCCAAAUUUUUAAUCAUUACUCUCCCUUCAGCUGAGACAAAAUCAUACUCUUGAUAUCUUGUAAAAUAAUCGAAACGAUAAGGGGGGGAAAUGCAUGCAAGGAAUGUGAAUCAUAAACGUAUCAAUCUUAGACAUAUUUGCAGAUCAGACGUCAAUAAAGAAGACAACCUGUCUGUCUGAAAACCCCUUUUUUUCUUCUUUGCAGUGGAGAGACAAGUGGCAAUGAUGUUGAGAGAAAUUGGAACUAGACGAGAACAAAAAGUUUUCUACUUUGGAAAGAUUGUAAAGAUGUAUAUAUAGCUGAAGGAAGACAACGGAACAGGGACGAUUAGAACAAAUGUUAGCCAAUGUGCAUGAAUUGUUCCCAAUGAUCAGAAACAGGUAAUGAACCAGAGGUUACAAUGUUUCAAAUUGUGGAGCAAUAAAGAUGAAAAACAUGGUGAGGGUAAAUGUUCUUGCGUUAUCCUUUUUGGUUAUUUGACUUUGAAAAGAUAGCAGGGGCCAUAAAAGUUAGCUGUAUACCCUUCCAUGUUCACUUGUUCUUGAGCCCCC